GAUUUCUGGUACAAUGCACCUGGCCCGCGGCCCUCAAGGCUUGUGAGUGCCGGCGCGCGUUUACCAUCCUUCUAGAAAACGAUUCUGCCAUUCACUUGGUUGGGAUCGCGAUCUAGAUCUUUUACUUUGAAAAAAUUAGAGUGUUUAAAGCAGGCUUUUGCUAUGAAUACAUUAGCAUGGAAUAAUAAUCUAGGACUUCGGUUCUGAUAGUUGGGGGUGCUAGUAUUGGCCGGCCAGAGGUGAAAUUCUUGGAUUCGGUCAAGACUAACUUAUGCGAAAGCAUU
rnacentral:rRNA from 1 species